CAUGAGGUACCUAAUCAAUAAUAGCCAAUGUUCUUUUAAAAAUAUCUCUGUUCUCUUGCAGUUCGCUACUCUCCAAUGGAGAGACACGGUGAUGAGUAAGGUGUGAAUCUCAAAAUGAGAUUAACGUCCUUGUAAAGCAGUCUGAGGGAGUGUGUUUGCCCUUAGUGUUGUGUGGCAUCACAAUCAGAAGGGGCCACCUUUGAAGGCGAGAGCAAGCCCUCAGCAGGCCCAAGAGAGAUGCUCAUCCCAAGAGAGAGAUGCUCAUCCCAAGAGAGAUAUUCAUCCCAAGAGAGAGAUGCUCAUCCCAAGAGAGAUAUUCAUCCAAAGAGAGAUGUUCAUCCCAGGAGAGAUGUUCAUCCCAGGAGAGAUGCUCAUCCCAGGAGAGAUGUUCAUCCCAAGAGAGAUGCUCAUCCCAGGAGAGAUGUUCAUCCCAAGAGAGAUGCUCAUCCCAAGAGAGAUGUUCAUUCCAAGAGAGAGAUGCUCAUCCUAAGAGAGAUGCUCAUCCCAGGAGAGAUGUUCAUCCCAGGAGAGAUGUUCAUCCCAGGAGAGAUGUUCAUCCCAGGAGAGAUGUUCAUCCCAGGAGAGAUGUUCAUCCCAGGAGAGAUGCUCAUCCCAAGAGAGAUGCUCAUCCCAGGAGAGAGGUUCAUCCCAAGAGAGAUGCUCAUCCUAAGAGAGAUGCUCAUCCCAGGAGAGAUGUUCAUCCCAGGAGAGAUGUUCAUCCCAGGAGAGAUGUUCAUCCCAGGAGAGAUGCUCAUCCCAGGAGAGAGGUUCAUCCCAAGAGAGAUGCUCAUCCCAAGAGAGAUGCUCAUCCCAGGAGAGACGCUUAUCACAAGAGCAAGCCAAAAAGCACAUCGAUGGGUAAAACGAAAAAGUUAAAGGGACCCGAGCUGGAAAGAAGGGGAUAAAAAAAGAUCAAA